rnacentral:rRNA from 1 species
AGAAUCAACGCUGGCGGCGUGCCUAACACAUGCAAGUCGAACGAGAAAGUGGAGCAAUCCAUGAGUAAAGUGGCGACCGGGUGAGUAACACGUGACUAACCUACCUUCGAGUGGGGGAUAACCUCGGGAAACCGGGGCUAAUACCGCAUAACAUCUUUGAAGUGGAAAUUUCGGAGAUCAAAGGAGCAAUUCGCUGGAAGAGGGGGUCGCGGCUGAUUAGCUAGUUGGCGGGGUAAUGGCCCACCAAGGCUUAGAUCGGUAGCCGGCCUGAGAGGGCGCACGGCCACACUGGAACUGAAACACGGUCCAGACUCCUACGGGAGGCAGCAGUGGGGAAUUUUGCGCAAUGGGGGAAACCCUGACGCAGCAACGCCGCGUGGAGGAUGAAGUCCCUUGGGACGUAAACUCCUUUCGACCCGGACGAUAAUGACGGUACUGGUGGAAGAAGCCCCGGCUAACUUCGUGCCAGCAGCCGC